rnacentral:rRNA from 1 species
AUACGGAGGAUCCAAGCGUUAUCCGGAAUCAUUGGGUUUAAAGGGUCCGUAGGUGGACAAAUAAGUCAGAGGUGAAAUCCUGCAGCUCAACUGUAGAACUGCCUUUGAUACUGUUUGUCUUGAGUUAUUAUGAAGUGGUUAGAAUGUGUAGUGUAGCGGUGAAAUGCAUAGAUAUUACACAGAAUACCGAUUGCGAAGGCAGAUCACUAAUAAUUAACUGACACUGAGGGACGAAAGCGUGGGUAGCGAACAGGAUUAGAUACCCUGGUAGUCCACGCCGUAAACGAUGGUCACUAGCUGUUUGGACUUCGGUCUGAGUGGCUAAGCGAAAGUGAUAAGUGACCCACCUGGGGAGUACGUUCGCAAGAAUGAAACUCAAAGGAAUUGACGGGGGCCCGCACAAGCGGUGGAGCAUGUGGUUUAAUUCGAUGAUACGCGAGGAACCUUACCAGGGCUUAAAUGUUAGGUGACAGAUCUAGAAAUAGAUUUUUCUUCGGACACUUAACAAGGUGC